GGUGGUGUAGCUCAGCUGGUAAAAGCGUCGUGCUAAUGGCGCUGAGGUCUUGCCAUGGAGGAUUCCAACCCCUCCUUGAUCA